rnacentral:rRNA from 1 species
CUACGGGAGGCAGCAGUGGGGAAUUUUGGACAAUGGGGGCAACCCUGAUCCAGCCAUUCCGCGUGAGUGAAGAAGGCCUUCGGGUUGUAAAGCUCUUUCGGCAGGAACGAAACGGUGAGGGCGAAUACCCCUUAUCAAUGACGGUACCUGAAGAAGAAGCACCGGCUAACUACGUGCCAGCAGCCGCGGUAAUA